rnacentral:rRNA from 1 species
AUUGAACGCUGGCGGCAGGCCUAACACAUGCAAGUCGAACGAGCGGAGGACGGGUGAGUAAUGUAUGGGGACUGCCCGAUAGAGGGGGAUAACUACGGGAAACGGUAGCUAAUACCGCAUACUAUCGGAUAACCCAUAUGGGAGUAGCUAGUAGGUGAGGUAAUGGGUCACCUAGGCGACGAUCCCUAGCUGGUCUGAGAGUAUGAUCAGCCACACUGUGACUGAGACACGUCCCAGACUCCCAGGGAGGCAGCAGUGGGGAUGAUUGCACAAUGGGCGCAAGCCGGAUGCAGCCAGGCCGCGUGUAUGAAGAAGGCCCUAGGGUUGUAAAGUACUUUCAGUCGGGAGGCGUUACCGACAGAAGAAGCACCGGCUAACUCCGUGCCAGCAGCCGCGGUAAUAC